rnacentral:rRNA from 1 species
UACGGGGGGAGCAAGCGUUGUUCGGAUUUACUGGGCGUAAAGGGCGCGUAGGCGGUCAGCACAAGUCAGUUGUGAAAUCUCCGGGCUUAACUCGGAAAGGUCAACUGAUACUGUGCGACUAGAGUGCAGAAGGGGGCAACUGGAAUCUCGUGUAGCGUGGAAUGACGUAGAUAUCGAGAGGAACACCUGCGGCGAAGGCGGGUUGCUGGGCUGACACUGACGCUGAUGCGCGAAAGCCAGGGGAGCGAACGGG